UACGUAGGGGGCUAGCGUUGUCCGGAAUCAUUGGGCGUAAAGAGCGCGUAGGCGGCCAGAUAAGUCCGGUGUGAAAGUCAAAGGCUCAACCCUUUGAAUGCCGCUGGAAACUGUCUGGCUAGAGUCCGGGAGGGGCGAGUGGAAUUCCUGGUGUAGCGGUGGAAUGCGCAGAUAUCAGGAGGAACACCAAUAGCGAAGGCAGCUCGCUGGGACGGUAUUGACGCUAAGGCGCGAAAGCGUGGGGAGCGAACAGG
rnacentral:rRNA from 1 species